UUAUAAAUUUACAUACAAGGUGUCCUCACAAAAUGUACACACACGUUAACAGCUGAUAGCUCAACAUUGCAAAUGAAACGUAGUCUAAUAAACACUGCCUUUAUAAUUAUUUAAAGUGUGUGCUUACAUUUUUGGGGACACCCUCUAU